CGGGGUGUGGCUCAGCUUGGUAGAGCGCUUGGUUCGGGACUAAGAGGUCGCGCGUUCGAAUCGCGUCACCCCGA
rnacentral:tRNA from 1 species